rnacentral:rRNA from 1 species
UACAGAGGUCUCAAGCGUUGUUCGGAUUCAUUGGGCGUAAAGGGUGCGUAGGCGGCUCGGUAAGUCGGGUGUGAAAUCUCGGAGCUUAACUCCGAAACUGCAUUCGAUACUGCCGUGCUUGAGUACUGGAGAGGAGACUGGAAUUUACGGUGUAGCGGUGAAAUGCGUAGAUAUCGUAAGGAAGACCAGUGGCGAAGGCGGGUCUCUGGACAGUUCCUGACGCUGAGGCACGAAGGUCAGGGGAGCAAACGGG